rnacentral:rRNA from 1 species
GACGAACGCUGGCGGCAGGCCUAACACAUGCAAGUCGAGCGAGGACUUCGGUUCUAGCGGCGGACGGGUGAGUAACGCGUGGGAAUGUGCCCUUCUCUACGGAAUAGCCCUGGGAAACUGGGAGUAAUACCGUAUACGCCCUAUUGGGGAAAGAUUUAUCGGAGAAGGAUCAGCCCGCGUUGGAUUAGGUAGUUGGUGGGGUAAUGGCCUACCAAGCCGACGAUCCAUAGCUGGUUUGAGAGGAUGAUCAGCCACACUGGGACUGAGACACGGCCCAGACUCCUACGGGAGGCAGCAGUGGGGAAUCUUAGACAAUGGGGGCAACCCUGAUCUAGCCAUGCCGCGUGAGUGAUGAAGGCCUUAGGGUUGUAAAGCUCUUUCAGCUGGGAAGAUAAUGACGGUACCAGCAGAAGAAGCCCCGGCUAACUCCGUG